UACAGAGGUCUCAAGCGUUGUUCGGAUUCAUUGGGCGUAAAGGGUGCGUAGGUGGCGCUGUAAGUCGGGGGUGAAAUUUCGGAGCUUAACUCCGAAACUGCAUUCGAUACUGCGGUGCUUGAGGACUGGAGAGGAGACUGGAAUUCAUGGUGUAGCAGUGAAAUGCGUAGAGAUCAUGAGGAAGACCAGUGGCGAAGGCGGGUCUCUGGACAGUUCCUGACACUGAGGCACGAAGGCCAGGGGAGCAAACGGG
rnacentral:rRNA from 1 species